UUUGUGACUUCAUUCCCUUUUGUUUGUAAAAUUAUGAGUUUGGCUCAUACAGAGAUUACGGCACAGCUCAGCCCAUAGAGAGAUUACGGUAACAUCCAUCUCUAUUAACAGGUGACUAACUUCCUGGUUUACCUGGGACUAAGCGCUCUCGCGAGAUAAGAGACUUAAUACCGCGAAACGGGGGAAAUACCAUGUUAGCCAGGAGCAUUGGGCACCUCACCAAAUAGAGACACAGAAACACUUCUGAGGAACCGGUGCACCUUGGCAUCGAACAUCAACGGCUGCACAACACUGAAAGUCAGUCAGCUGAGGGCUGUCUGUGAGGAAGAGACUCCGCACCACUUUUGCAAUGUUCUGUUAGCGAAAACAUUGAACCUAAAUAUAAAAAGGUCAGCGGCUAAUCUGUGGGAAACACAGAGGACUGUGGGAACUGAGAAGUGAUCACAUUGGAAACCUUAAGGGUCUCGGUCCAUCUGGCAGUGGUGAGUGUAUAGACCCUAAGUGGCUGGCAACAGUUUCCCUGUCUUCUCCGCUGGUGGGAAUGCUGACUUAUCCCACGACCGACCGAGCCAUGAAGAGGAGGCGUCGCCUGUGCAACCCCACAAAUACAAGGUCGGGCCUCUCCCCUCCUGCACAGGUGCCGCUCUUUGGCACAAGUAGGCCAGUGUCUGUCUCCACGGAAUUCAGAAGUUCAAAGAUCAGCGGUUCUUCCACAAUGUUGGGGGCAUCCUCAAGAGGGAGGACACAGCCUGUGCGCUCCGUGGUCUGUCAGGCCACCCACUUGGUGGGCCAGAAUGGAAAAUACAGACGGCCUGACGCAGCAAGGGUCCCUCUGUGCUCAGGUGAUACCGAGGCCCCUGUGAGAUCUCAGCAGAGCAGAACCAGCCCUGCCUUUGGCAUCAACUGGGUGUGCUGUAUCCCCUGGAGACCGGGGUGCUAACGUCUCUGGCUCUGCCUCAAGGAAUCUACAGAAACCAGAAUUCUUCCUCCCCAGGAUGUGUCCCAGAAACUAGAAAUGUUACUCCGACCUUCGCACUUUCCUGUGUAGGCGAUAUGAAUAAUAGGACCCUGAUCCCAGGAAUGUUCUGCCUUAUUCCCUGGAGGAAGGAAAGAAAGAGAAGACCGAAAUGAAUCUGAGCAGAGAGGCUAGCAUGUAUUAGCUUGUUUUCUGUUACUGUCACGGAGAUGCCAGGUACUGGGUUCUUUACAAACAAAAGAGAUUUGUGGAGCACAUGGAGUUGAGGGUUGAAAGUCCAAAUAGCAUGGCGCUGGUUCUGAUGCGGGUCCCCUUGGCUAUGUCACCAUCUCCUGGUAGGUGACAUCACAAUGGCCAUGUACUUGCCAGAGGGAAAAAUGGGGUGGUGAAGCAGGAAGCCAGACCACGGGGAACGACUCUUCUUGAAACCUUCUACCAGGGCUCUACUCUUAGAGAUCCUACCCUUUCCCUUUUCUUUUUUUCUUUUUAUGGCACUGGGGCCUUUGCAAGGAGCUGCAUCCCCUACCCUUUUUAAAAGAAAUUUAUUUUGAAAUAAGAGGCCUUGCUAAGUUGCACAGGCCAGGCUCGAACUCGUGACCCUUCCACCUCAGCCUCCCAAAGUGCAGGGAAUACAGGUGUGCCCUGUUAGGCCUGGCUACCACCGCCUCUGCACCUCAGUACCCCGGAGGCCAGGCUUUCAGUACCUGAACCUUUUGCCGGACAGCCUUAAACUAUAUCCAAACAAGAGCCUGGUGAGCGACGCAUAACUAUGACUAUGCUAAGAUCCCUGAACUGUGCCCUUUAAAAGAACGACCUCUACGAUAUGUCAAUUAAAAUUUAAUAAAACUGUAAGUAAAAUAAUACAACGUCUACAUAGGGAGCCCUUGCUGCGUGCCAGGUCCUGAGCUACGCUGUCUACCAAGGCAAACCUAAGCUCUGUCACUGAUUAAAUACAUUUUCACACUGGGUGGACCACUGCCCAGCCUCACUGUUUCAAACAUUAUUCUCAUUUAAUCUUCGCAGCGACCCACACAAUCGGCAAGCUUGUGGUCGUUUCUCUUCUGUAGAGGAAGUACUCAAAGCUCCGACAAGUUAAAAGACAUCUAUCUGACCAAAGCCACACGUCUGUAAGGGGCUUUCCUGGGAACUGGGGAGGAACAGUCCCUGUGCUUUGAAGUUGCUUUGGCAUCUCCAUGAGAGCAGCGAUCAGGAAAAAGAUCAGGAAAAGGAUGUGUGUGCCUGACGCAAAGCAGAUGACGCCCUGGAAGGCAACCCUGCCUUCUGGGCCCCACAGAGGGACAGGCACACUGAGUGACGGCAGCAAUGUGCCUUGCACACUGACUCAGUCAGCGGCAGGGUUCCGACGCUGUCUGUCCCCCCAUAGGACGCAUCAUAAGGAUGAUGACUGUGGUGCACUGAGAAAGUGAAAGAGUAAAUAAGGACUGAAAGGGAUGAGAGGUACUGGGAAUCAGGAGGAAAAUAUUCCAGUAAGAAGGAGAACAAGGGAGAGGGAGGGGGAAAGGACGGAAGGGAAAAGGAAAACGAAAAGAGAUUACAAGGAAACAAUGAAAACAAAGCUUUUACAAAUAAGAAGGUGAAUAAGGGUUGAAGGGAGGGAGGGAAAUGGGGAAAAAAGAAUCACGGAAUAUACGAACAGUUACACAUUCACCACACUGAAUGUGAUCAUGAUGUAUAUCAAAAGCCUACCAAUAAAAUUCAUUUAAAAGUUGUACGCACAUUUUUAAAAAAAGGGUCACACGUCAUAUCGGAGAAAACCCACUGGCUGGGGCUGUGAAUUCUUCCUGGAAGUCAAUUCUCUCACUGCGUGCUG
rnacentral:lncRNA from 1 species